CCUACGGGAGUCAGCAGUGAGGAAUAUUGGUCAAUGGACGAGAGUCUGAACCAGCCAAGUAGCGUGAGGGAUGACUGCCCUAUAGAUUGUAACCUUCUUUUAUAUGGGAAUAAAAUGUUCCACGUGUGGGAUUUUGUAUGUACCAUAUGAAUAAGGAUCGGCUAACUCCGUGCCCGCAGCCGCGGUAAUACAGAGGAUCCGAGAGUUAUCCGGAUUUAUUGGGGUUAAAGGUAGCGUAGGUGGAUUGUUAAGUCAGUUGUGAAAGUUUGCGGCUCAACCGGCAAAUUGCAGUUGAAACUGGCAGUGUUGAGUACAGUAGAGGUGUGCGGAAUUCGUGGUGUAGCGGUGAAAUGCUUAGAUAUCACGAAGAACUCCGAUUGCGAAGGCAGCUCACUGGACUGCAACUGACACUGAGGCUCGAAAGUGUGGGUAUCAAACAGGAUUAGAUACCCCAGUAGUC
rnacentral:rRNA from 1 species